UUUUAGGGGAAAGUUACGGGUAAAAUUAAAAAAAACCAAAACGUAGAGGAGGCCGGGGCGGAGACGACACUGAUAGUGCUAAACCCCUCAUCCAUUUUUCUUUGAUGCUUUCAUCCGCUCAGUUUCGUUACCAUGGCUAGGCCGUUCCCGCUCUAUUUCUACCAGGUUUGAUCGCCAUUGGGGGCAUUCUCUUAGCACUUUAGAAACAAAUUUCUAUGACGUCGUAACUUUCUAAUUCCAAUUGAUCGUUCAGCAACAAGCAGUUUGAAGAAUUUCCUUCAGGUAGGGGCAAUGAGCACUGUGGAGAGUAUUCAGGUGACUUGUGCAGCUUUUGCACGAUAGUUUUGGGAGCUUUGUAUAUAAAUUUUGGGUAAUUGUCAUUGCAGAAUGCCUAAGGACAGAGAAUCCAUGCAUAUUGAUCAAUUUGAUGGAAGUAAUGGAUGCAUCAUAGAUCUCAAACCUGUUCCUGCUUGUGCAUCAGGAGUUGGCUUGCCUUAUGCUCCGGAGGACUGGCCGCAUCUUGGAGAUACUUGGACUUGGAGAGUAGGAACCAGAAAAGCUGUUAGUGGGCACUGGAUUGAUAGGUUUAUUUCUCCACCUGACUAUUUCCCAAGUAUUUCAGGUUGUAAGCCGAAGUUCCAAAGCAGAGUUUCUUUAGUGAAAUAUCUUCGGAAUGAAUUUCCUCAUGCUGAUCUUGAUGCCUUCUUUGGUUCUUUUUCAUGGAGAAUUCCUGCUGAAGGAACUAACU